UACGUAGGUGGCAAGCGUUUGUCCGGAUUUAUUGGGUUUAAAGGGUGCGUAGGCGGCCAACUAAGUCAGACGUGAAAUCCCCAGGCUUAACCUGGGAACUGCGUCUGAUACUGGAUGGCUUGAAUUCGGGAGAGGGAUGCAGAAUUCCAGGUGUAGCGGUGAAAUGCGUAGAUAUCGGGAGGAACACCAGAGGCGAAGGCGGCGAACUUGACGAUUACUGACACUCAACUGCGAAAGCGUGGGGAGCAAACAGG
rnacentral:rRNA from 1 species